rnacentral:rRNA from 1 species
CAGUCGAGGGGCAGCGAGGGUAAUAGCAAUAUUACCUGUCGGCGACCGGCGCACGGGUGCGUAACGCGUAUGCAACCUACCAUCAACAGGGGGAUAACACUGAGAAAUUGGUACUAAUACCCCAUAAUAUCUCAUGCGGCAUCGCAUGGGGUUGAAAACUCCGGUGGUUGAUGAUGGGCAUGCGUUGUAUUAGCUGGUUGGUGAGGUAACGGCUCACCAAGGCGACGAUACAUAGGGGGACUGAGAGGUUAACCCCCCACAUUGGUACUGAGACACGGACCAAACUCCUACGGGAGGCAGCAGUGAGGAAUAUUGGUCAAUGGACGCAAGUCUGAACCAGCCAUGCCGCGUGCAGGAUGACGGCUCUAUGAGUUGUAAACUGCUUUUGUACGAGGGUAAACCCCGAUACGUGUAUUGGGUUGAAAGUAUCGUACGAAUAAGGAUCGGCUAACUCCGUGCCAGCAGCCGCGGUAAUACGGAGGAUCCGAGCGUUAUCCGGAUUUAUUGGGUUUAAAGGGUGCGUAGGCGGUUUGAUAAGUUAGAGGUGAAAUGUCGGGGCUCAACCCCGAAACUGCCUCUAAUACUGUUGGACUAGAGAAUAGUUGCGGUAGGCGGAAUGUAUGGUGUAGCGGUGAAAUGCUUAGAGAUCAUACAGAACACCGAUUGCGAAGGCAGCUUACCAAACUAUAUCUGACGUUGAGGCACGAAAGCGUGGGUAGCAAACAGGAUUAGAUACCCUGGUAGUCCACGCAGUAAACGAUGAUAACUCGUUGUCGGCGAUACACAG